rnacentral:rRNA from 1 species
CCUACGGGCGGCUGCAGUGGGGAAUAUUGGGCAAUGGGGGCAACCCUGACCCAGCGACGCCGCGUGAGGGAAGAAGGCCUUCGGGUCGUAAACCGCUUUUGUACGUGAAGAAGCAGAUGACGGUAGCGUACGAAUAAGUCCCGGCUAACUACGUGCCAGCAGCCGCGGUAAUACGUAGGGGACGAGCGUUGUCCGGAAUUACUGGGCGUAAAGGGCGCGCAGGCUGCGCGUCGAGUCGGCUGUUAAAGAUCCGGGCUUAACCCGGUGAAGCGGUCGAGACCGACGAGCUGGAGUGCUGCAGAGGCAAGUGGAAUUCCCGGUGUAGCGGUGAAAUGCGUAGAUAUCGGGAAGAACACCGGUGGCGAAGGCGACUUGCUGGGCAGCAACUGACGCUGAGGCGCGAAAGCCAGGGGAGCAAACGGGAUUAGAUACCCCUGUAGUC